AAAGUAGAAGAACUAUUGAUGGCACGAGAGAAACAAUCUAUGGCAGUAUUUAGUAACAGAAUCAUCUGUAGCUCAGUGUACCAGGGUCAACUGUGGUCUUAUGACAUCACUUCCUGGUCAGACAAAGUAGCCUAGGUUCAUUGUAAGAUUUAUUAAUAAAAGAAUAGCAGUACCAUCUCUAUGUUCAUGUUCACCUCUCUUCGAUAUGCAGUGUUGUUGUUUACCAUAAUGUCAAGCCUCAAAUCAUUAGGUUUGUUUUUGGUAAACAACAGUCACUUUGACAAGCUAGGAUUCUGUCUCUUUUUAUAAUGUGCUUAAAUGUGUAAAGCAACAAAAUGCAUAAUACACUUACAUAGUUUCUUGAAUGUAGUGCUGGCUAACGAUCCAGGGUUCUUUUUUUUCAGGACUGAUAUAUCAUUGGUUAAGCUCUCACUAUGAACAUUAGGCAUCAGUGAUUGGGUGAAUGGCUGCUCUCACUAAGAUAGGCAUCAGUGAUUGGGUGAUGGGCUGCUCUCACUAUGAACAUUAGGCAUCAGUGAUUGGGUGAAUGGCUGCUCUCACUAAGAUAGGCAUCAGUGAUUGGGUGAAUGGCUGCUCUCACUAAGAUAGGCAUCAGUGAUUGGGUGAAUGGCUGCUCUCACUAUGAACAUUAGGCAUCAGUGAUUGGGUGAAUGGCUGCUCUCACUAAGAUAGGCAUCAGUGAUUGGGUGAAUGGCUGCUCUCACUAAGAUAGGCAUCAGUGAUUGGGUGAAUGGCUGCUCUCACUAAGAUAGGCAUCAGUGAUUGGGUGAAUGGCUGCUCUCACUAAGAUAGACAUCAGUGAUUGGGUGAAUGGCUGCUCUCACUAUGAACAUUAGACAUCAGUGAUUGGGUGAAUGGCUGCUCUCACUAAGAUAGGCAUCAGUGAUUGGGUGAAUGGCUGCUCUCACUAAGAACAUUAGACAUCAGUGAUUGGGUGAAUGGCUGCUCUCACUAUGAACAUUAGACAUCAGUGAUUGGGUGACCCACUGCAAUGCAUGAGGUUUUCGUGGUGUGUUUGUUUUACACAUUUCUACUCCACCACCUAGUUUCACUUUAGUCCUGUAAUGAAUGAUUGGUUCUGUCAUACUAGGAAAGGCUUGUGUUGUUUGGUUAAGCAAGAACUUAGAGAAAUGCACAUUACAAUGAGUCAUUUAAUACUUCAGCUGUUUUUGGUUCCACUUUACUGACAGCAUCCAGGUUAAAACACAUGAUAAGGUGUUAUUAGCAUGAGCCUUUUAUAAUGUCUUAUCAGGCUUCUAAAAAUGCUUAUCCUGUAUUAAUACCAGUGUGUUUUAAACAGACACAAUGACCAGAAAGAGCUGGAAAUCCAGUCACUAUUGGACUUCUUAAAUGUGCCAUGUUAUGAAUGUUGAAACAUUUUGCCUUAAUAACUUUUUGAUUUUUUUCUGCACGUCUUCUUUUCAGUUGGUGGUCGUUUUUAAUAUUUGAAUAUCUUCUCCUUAAUUAAAGGGUUCACUAUGCAAUCCACUUCCUGAUCUGAUCUGUCUUACUAUAUUAACCUUCUGCUGCUUAUUUUACAGACGGGUCAUCUCUUUUUCUCUUCUUGACAAUCAGUGUUUUCUUGAUACACAAAAGGUCUGUGUUUCCAAAUGGUAGUGCACUACUUUGGACCAGGGCCCAGUGGUGGUGGGGGGGAAUAUCACUAUAUAGGGAAUAGAAUGCCAUUUGGGACGCUACAGAGAUCUGAACAGCACAAUGACCUGACGGCAGUACGGAUAGAGAUACAACCUGCCACGUACUCUCUGCUUCGUAGAAGGUUUUACUGAUGGUAAUGAAUCUAUGACUUUUUGAUUAAAAAUAUAAAAAUAUUUAAAAAAUCUGUUUUAUUUUUACCAAUCAGUCAGCAGCUCAUUUUAAAGGGAUUCAUUCAUCUACAGAUCAUUAUGUUCAUGAAAUAAUCUAUGUACAUUAAAUGAUCUAGAUUACACUCUGGGCUCACGAAGUGACUAUAUAAAGGCUCUAAUAGCAGUUUGUGUAAAUACAUUUUAUAAAAUACAUUGUGUGGAUGAAUGAAUGUCAGGAUAAUGAAAAUAAAUAAGCUCACGUCUG
ensembl:lncRNA